CCUGCCAGUAGUCAUAUGCUUCGUUCAAGGACUAAGCCAUGCAUGUCUCAGCGUACACGGCUUCAACAGUGGGUCUGUGAAUGGCUCCUUACAUCAGCAGUCAUCUGAGUGAUACAGUGUGGACGGCACCCACCUGCCAGGUGCCCAAUUGGAUAUCCUCCAAAACCUAGUGGCUAAUACACGUUCGCCAAGGUCUGCCUCAGCAUGGUCUCGCCAGCAUUCCUUACUGCUUGACCAGUGGUGGAUUGCGCCCAGCCGCUUGAAAGACCAGCGCCUGGAAAUGGCAGUGUGUUGUGGUUGACUCAGGCUGGUCCAUCUGGACACCUGCGCUGGCAGAGUGGUGGCCUCUGGCCACAGCAUUGCUUGAUCACAAGAACUUCUGACCUAUCAGCCUUGAUGGUGGUGUAGUGGACCACCAUGGCGGUGACGGGUAACGGAGAAUCAGGGUUCGACUCCGGAGAGGGAGCCUGAGAGACGGCUACCACUUCUAAGGAGGGCAGCAGGCACGCAAAUUGCCCAAUGCUAAGACAUUUCUGGUGAGGCAGCGACGAACUGCAGCAAUCCCGCCUGUCCUUGUGACCAGUGGGACUUGUAAUGGAUGCAAUCCAAACACAGUGAUGAGUAUCAACUGGAGGGCAAGUCUGGUGCCAGCAGCUGCGGUAAUUCCAGCUCCAAGUGCGUAUACUAACAUUGCUGCUGUUAAAACACUUGUAGUCUGAUGCUGGGUUGCAGGUCUGCCGGGGCAGCUGGGGUGGCCCUUGUCCUGGUCUGCUCGUCAGGCUGGGGCCUGGGCGGCCUCUGCUGAUCAAAACCCUGGUGGUAUGUUCCUGCACCCGUUUCAAUGAUGGUGAGACUGCCCCUGCUUCAAGUCUCCUUCAGUGGGGAUCGCUGUGGUUGCAUACCCAACGCUUGUGUGUUGACGUCUGGGGCACGGCCUUGCGCCGUGGAUCUCCCCUGUCCACCACCGGGGCCCACCAUUUCUGACACCGUGGAAAACUCAGUGUGCUCCAAGCAGCCUUGCGGCUGAAUGCCCGUCCAUGGAAUGUCAAAGCAUCGACCACCUGUUUUGGCUGUGGAGUUGUGCUGGCCUUGGUGCCCAGGUUGGGGAACAUGGCACUGUCCCCAGUGGCACACAGGGACACCCCUCGUGGGUGCUCCCCUGGGCUGCUGGUGGGCAGGCGUCACUCGGCCAUGAUGGGACUGCUCAGGGUGAAAGGUAUUGCAACGCCAGAGGUGAAAUUCUUAGACCGCUGCAAGACCAACUGCAGCGAAGGCGUUCUGCAAGUGCACGUUCGUCGAUCAAGAAUGUGAGUGUGGGGAGCGAAGAUGAUCAGACACCGUCGUAGUCCACGACUGUCAACUAUGCCGGCUCGGUCCUGGUGGUGCAAGUCAACGGACGCCAUCAGGGCCAUCUCCCCCUGCAACGAGAAAUCCAAGCCUAUGGGUUCAGGGGGGAGUACUGUCGCAAGGCUGAAACUUAAAGGAAUUGACGGAAUGGCACCACAAGGUGUGGAGUAUGCGGCUUAAUUUGACUCAACACGGGGAAUGUUACCAGGUCAGGACGUUGCUGGGAUGGACAGAUUGAGAGCUCUUUCUUGAUCCUUCGGAUGGUGGUGCAUGGCCGCUCCUGAUUGGUGGAGUGAUUUGUCUGGUUGAUUCCGUUAACGAGUGAGACAUCUGCCUCCCAAUAGCCCCAGCCUCGCAUUCUGUAGGGCGGCCUCGGCUGGCCACGACGGGCUUGCCCUUAGUGGUGGCUGUGGUCUGCCUGAGAGGUUUGGGAUCAGCUUCUCUGAGGUGCUGUGUACGCUACCAAGUGCAUGCAUGCUAGAGCCAACAGCAGGUCUGUGAUGCUCCCAGAUGUCCUGGGCCGCACGCGCACUACAUUGGCCCAGUGAAUGUGCUCACCCUUGCUUGUCAAGACCUUCCUGGAAGUGGGUUGGAAACCCCUGAAGCCUGGCCCUUGCCGUACUGGGGAUAGAUGAUUGCAACUGUCUGCCUUGAACGAGGAAUACCUAGUAAGCGCAGGUCAUCAGCCUGCACUGAUUGUGUCCCUGCCAUUUGUACACACCGCCCGUCGUUGCUACCGAUGGCAUGGAGAUAGAGCCAUCAGGAGGACCUGUUCCCUUUUCGGGAACCAGGCUGAAAUUGGGCAAUGUCUCCAUGCUAGAGGAAGCAAAAGUCGUAACAAGGUUGUUGUAGGUGAA
rnacentral:rRNA from 1 species